AGAGUGAACGCUGGCGGUAGGCCUAACACAUGCAAGUCGAACGGCAGCACAGUAGGAGCUUGCUCUUACGGGUGGCGAGUGGCGGACGGGUGAGGAAUACAUCGGAAUCUACCUUUUGGUGGGGGAUAACGUAGGGAAACUUACGCUAAUACCGCAUACGCCCUUCGGGGGAAAGCCGGGGACCAGCAAUGGCCUGGCGCUGAUAGAUGAGCCGAUGUCGGAUUAGCUAGUUGGUGAGGUAAUGGCCUACCAACGGACGGACG
rnacentral:rRNA from 1 species